rnacentral:rRNA from 1 species
AGAGUUUGAUCCUGGCUCAGAGCGAACGCUGGCGGCAGGCCUAACACAUGCAAGUCGAACGAACCCUUCGGGGUUAGUGGCGGACGGGUGAGUAAUACGUGGGAACGUGCCCUUUGGUACGGAAUAACUCAGGGAAACUUGAGCUAAUACCGUAUGUGCCCUUCGGGGGAAAGAUUUAUCGCCAUUGGAGCGGCCCGCGUCUGAUUAGCUAGUUGGUGAGGUAAUGGCUCACCAAGGCGACGAUCAGUAGCUGGUCUGAGAGGAUGACCAGCCACAUUGGGACUGAGACACGGCCCAAACUCCUACGGGAGGCAGCAGUGGGGAAUCUUGCGCAAUGGGCGAAAGCCUGACGCAGCCAUGCCGCGUGGAUGAUGAAGGUCUUAGGAUUGUAAAAUCCUUUCACCGGGGACGAUAAUGACGGUACCCGGAGAAGAAGCCCCGGCUAACUUCGUGCCAGCAGCCGCGGUAAUACGAAGGGGGCUAGCGUUGCUCGGAAUUACUGGGCGUAAAGGGCGCGUAGGCGGACAUUUAAGUCGGGGGUGAAAUCCCAGGGCUCAACCCUGGAACUGCCUUCGAUACUGGAUGUCUUGAGUGCGGGAGAGGUGUGUGGAACUCCGAGUGUAGAGGUGAAAUUCGUAGAUAUUCGGAAGAACACCAGUGGCGAAGGCGACACACUGGCCG